UUCCGGUUGAUCCUGCCGGAGGCUACCGCUAUUGGAGUUCGAUUAAGCCAUGCGAGUCGCGAGUCUUAGGGACUCGGCGUACCGCUCAGUAACACGUGGGUAACCUGCCCUAUGCUGGGGGAUAACCUCGGGAAACUGAGAAUAAUACCCCAUAGUUCACCACGCCUGGAACGGUGGGUGGACCAAAGCUCCGGCGGCAUAGGAUGGGCCUGCGGCGUAUCAGGUUGUAGGGGGUGUAAUGUACCCUCUAGCCCUCUACGCGUACGGGUGUUGAGAGACAUCGCCCGGAGAUGGAUUCUGAGACACGAAUCCAGACCCUACGGGGUGCAGCAGGCGCGAAAACUUGGCAAUGCGAGAAAUCGUGACCAGGGAACUCCAAGUGCAUCGGGUAAGACCGAUGCUUUUCUUGACUCUUCAAAGGUCUUGGAAUAAGGGGUGGGUAAGGACGGUGCCAGCCGCCGCGGUAAUACCGGCGCCCCAAGUGGUAGUCGCUUUUAUUGGGCCUAAAACGUCCGUAGCCGGUCUGGUACAUUCGUGGGUAAAUCAACCAGCUCAACUGGUUGAAUUCUGCGAGCACGGCCAGACUUGGGACCGGGAGAGGUGUGGGGUACUCUCAGGGUAGGGGUAAAAUCCUGUCAUCCUGAGAGGACCACCUGUUGCGAAGGCGCCACACUAGAACGGAUCCGACGGUCAGGGACGAAGCCUAGGGGCACGAACCGGAUUAGAUACCCGGGUAGUCCUAGGUGUAAACGCUGUGGACUUGAUGUUGGGGGCGCUCCGAGCGCACUCAGUGUCGAAGCGAAGGUGAUAAGUCCACUGCCUGGGGAGUACGGUCGCAAGGCUGAAACUUAAAGGAAUUGGCGGGGGAGCACCGCAACCUGAGGAUUGUGCGGUUUAAUUGGAUUCAACGCCG
rnacentral:rRNA from 1 species